rnacentral:lncRNA from 1 species
GGACUUUUCGUGAGUUGUUCAUUGCGUGAUUUGAAUUGAAGGAACACAAAAUUGAUAGGCCGGAUUAGACAUAAGAUAAGUACAUAUGUUUUAGUGAUAAGUUAGUAAACAAGGACGGAUCUGGCCGGAGAAGAACUGUCAAGAAAACACAAGGGGUCGGACACGUGGUGGCAGAAGGACCGGUGGAAACUACUGAUUUCUCAUCAGGUAAUGAGUCGGAGGAGGAUGCACGAGCGUUCCCCUCUUUAAGGCACGACCCGUUACACCAAAAAUUUGAAAUUGCAAAUAAUUCCAUUGAUUUCACUCCGUCACAAGAAUCUAGCAUUCAUGACACAGUGGGGGAACACGUGCCUUUUAAAAUUAAGGAAAAAAUUUGGGAGGGAAAGUUUAUUGAGCUUCAUUCUCUUUUGAGAACGCAAAAAGCAAUGGAAGAGGUGGACGAGGGCGAUUUGAAAUUAAAAAGGGGGAAAAUUUU